UUCCGUAGGUGAACCUGCGGAAGGAUCAUUAAAGAAUCGCCCCGUUUUUUGAAAUGGGUUCUAUUCCCAAACCGUGUAUACAUACCUUUGUUGCUUUGGCAGGCCGCCUUUUAGGCGUCGGCUUCGGCUGACUGCGCCUGCCAGAGGACCCAAACUCGUUUGUUUAGUGAUGUCUGAGUACUAUAUAAUAGUUAAAACUUUCAACAACGGAUCUCUUGGUUCUGGCAUCGAUGAAGAACGCAGCGAAAUGCGAUAAGUAAUGUGAAUUGCAGAAUUCAGUGAAUCAUCGAAUCUUUGAACGCACAUUGCGCUCGCCAGUAUUCUGGCGAGCAUGCCUGUUCGAGCGUCAUUUCAACCAUCAAGCUCUGCUUGCGUUGGGGAUCCGCGGCUGUCCGCGGUCCCUCAAAAUCAGUGGCGGGCUCGCUAGUCACACCGAGCGUAGUAACUCUACAUCGCUAUGGUCGUGCGGCGGGUUCUUGCCGUAAAACCCCCCAUUUCUAAGGUUGACCUCGGAUCAGGUAGGAAUACCCGCUGAACUUAAGCAUAUCAAUAAGCGGAGGAAAAGAAACCAAC
rnacentral:rRNA from 1 species